GAGGAUUCGGAUCUGGGUGGAGACAGCGGGAGCGGGAAGGCAGGAGCCCCGAGUUCAGAAAGGACGGCGUCCCGAGUGCGAGAGCUGGCCCGGCUUUACAGCGAGCGGAUCCAGCAGAUGCAGCGGGCGGAGACUCGGGCAUCAGCCAAUGCCCCGCGCCGCCGGCCUCGGGUUCUGGCCCAACCCCAGCCAUCCCCCUGUCUGCCCCAGGAGCAGGCAGAGCCAGGGCUCCUGCCUGCCUUUGGACACGUGCUGGAAUCUAUGGGCCUUCACAGGGCCCAGGGGGCUCCUGAUGCCCCCUUCCACAUGUGAGCCAGGACAUGAGGCUUCCCUGAAGCAAGGAUUUCAGCCAGAUGCCAUAGACCCUCAGAACUUGACCUGGAAGUCCAGACACUGAACGCAGGCCUCAAAACUGCUGCGGCCUUCCAACUCCUGGUAUCUGCAUCGGCGAAUGGCCCUUCUUGCCUUGAUCCACAGGGAUGGGGAAGGGAGGAAUGUCAUUAAUGUUUUGUUAAUACUGAUUCUUUCAU
rnacentral:lncRNA from 1 species